rnacentral:rRNA from 1 species
CUUAGGCGUGUGACUGCGUACCUUUUGUAUAAUGGGUCAGCGACUUAUAUUCUGUAGCAAGGUUAACCGAAUAGGGGAGCCGAAGGGAAACCGAGUCUUAACUGGGCGUUAAGUUGCAGGGUAUAGACCCGAAACCCGGUGAUCUAGCCAUGGGCAGGUUGAAGGUUGGGUAACACUAACUGGAGGACCGAACCGACUAAUGUUGAAAAAUUAGCGGAUGACUUGUGGCUGGGGGUGAAAGGCCAAUCAAACCGGGAGAUAGCUGGUUCUCCCCGAAAGCUAUUUAGGUAGCGCCUCGUGAAUUCAUCUCCGGGGGUAGAGCACUGUUUCGGCAAGGGGGUCAUCCCGACUUACCAACCCGAUGCAAACUGCGAAUACCGGAGAAUGUUAUCACGGGAGACACACGGCGGGUGCUAACGUCCGUCGUGAAGAGGGAAACAACCCAGACCGCCAGCUAAGGUCCCAAAGUCAUGGUUAAGUGGGAAACGAUGUGGGAAGGCCCAGACAGCCAGGAUGUUGGCUUAGAAGCAGCCAUCAUUUAAAGAAAGCGUAAUAGCUCACUGGUCGAGUCGGCCUGCGCGGAAGAUGUAACGGGGCUAAACCAUGCACCGAAGCUGCGGCAGCGACGCUGAUGCGUUGUUGGGUAGGGGAGCGUUCUGUAAGCCUGCGAAGGUGUGCUGUGAGGCAUGCUGGAGGUAUCAGAAGUGCGAAUGCUGACAUAAGUAACGAUAAAGCGGGUGAAAAGCCCGCUCGCCGGAAGACCAAGGGUUCCUGUCCAACGUUAAUCGGGGCAGGGUGAGUCGACCCCUAAGGCGAGGCCGAAAGGCGUAGUCGAUGGGAAACAGGUUAAUAUUCCUGUACUUGGUGUUACUGCGAAGGGGGGACGGAGAAGGCUAUGUUGGCCGGGCGACGGUUGUCCCGGUUUAA